GCGCUAUAUUGUUAAGUAGCGGUUCCACUGUUCGAGUUCAAGUUAAUGUACUGCGAGCCCACUAUCAUGACGAGCCCAAUUGUGCCUCCCAAGCCCAUUUGCGCUGCCAUUAUUCUAGGGUUCUCGCACCAAGCGGACAAACACCCAAAACUCAGAGAGCUGGGGUACAUGAUCCUCGAACGCUGCCCCAGAAUACCAAGCCAUUGCUUAAGUUGCUGAUUCAUGAUUUGCAAUUCACACUACUAUCGCAUCGUGCUUUUAUCGAGCAGACCAAGUCCGUUGUGACAGUGUAACUUUAAAUUUUCUCGACGCUGAUUGCAAUUACCAAAGGUUUAAUUGUGUCCAUGGCGGCAAGCCCACCAUGAAACGACAAGUAUCGCAAGACUGGGGUAGAAUAUCUGACAGGGCAGGCCUAGAGCUGCAGCAGUUUUGGGUCGGCCCCCCCGUCAUAUUUGUAAUGAUUUUUUACUUUGAGUUUUUACCUGCGGAAGGAUCAUUACACAAUAUUACGGGGGGCCGGACCCCAAAACUGCUUGCAGCUUUGGGCCUGCCCUGUCUGAUAUUCUACCCCAUGUCUUUUGCGUACUUUUCGUUUCCUUGGUGGGCUUGCCUGCCAAUAGGACAACCAAUUAAACCUUUUUGUAAUUGCAAUCAGCGUCUGAAAAAACUUUAAUAGUUACAACUUUCAACAACGGAUCUCUUGGUUCUGGCAUCGAUGAAGAACGCAGCGAAAUGCGAUAAGUAGUGUGAAUUGCAGAAUUCAGUGAAUCAUCGAAUCUUUGAACGCACAUUGCGCCCCUUGGUAUUCCAUGGGGCAUGCCUGUUCGAGCGUCAUUUGUACCCUCAAGCUCUGCUUGGUGUUGGGUGUUUGUCCCGCCUUUGGUGCGUGGACUCGCCUUAAAAUAAUUGGCAGCCGGCAUAUUGGCCUUGGAGCGCAGCACAUUUUGCGCUUCUAGUCAAUGAUUGUUGGCGUCCAGCAAGUACA
rnacentral:rRNA from 1 species